GUGAUGAUGGCGUACCAAAGCCGACUCGUGACGUGCUCGCGACGGACUGA
rnacentral:snoRNA from 1 species